GGGAAUCAACAUGUCGUCUCUCUGGAUCCCCUUUCUCACUCCUCUCCCUCGAGCUUGGAGCUCAGCUCUAUCGCCAUCAAUUCAUGGCGUCCUCGACAGUACGACCUGAUUCGUCAGAGCCUGCAGUGAGCUCCUCUGUCCUUGCUUGAACGAGGUGGGCGUCAUCGAUUUGUUGUUCUGGGCUGCCAAACCUGCGACCCUGACUGCAUGCUAGACAGCUGCCGCCGCCUUCAAAGCUAUUGACAUGCACUGCCGCAGGAGGCGAGGGCCAUGGCAUCGAAGGUCAUAGACGCCUUGAGAAGAGACAGUUGCUCAGCCUCGUGUCUAGUGUUGUGACCAAGGAGCUGAUGUACAAAGGCAGCUGCUCUGUUUGGCAAAUAACCGGAGCGCUGGUGAGGCAGUAGCUGCAAGGAAAACCCAAUCAAAAGCAGAAGAAGAGAAGCCCUGCCGGUAGGUACUAUUAUACAAGAAAAACCGGCGGGCACCAGGAGACAUAAGAUGAGCCCCAAUUGACAGUGGUAAGUCAUUUUUUUUGCGGGGGACAGUGGCUAGUCAUGACAGAGUUCAACUGUACACCUUCCCUUUCAUUUGCUCAGGACGUCAUCGAAACUUUUUGGUCUUU